UGAGGAAUCUUGCACAAUGGGCGAAAGCCUGAUGCAGCGACGCCGCGUGAGGGACUAAGGCCUUCGGGUUGUAAACCUCUGUCAGUAGGGAAGCGGUACCUACUGAGGAAGCUUCGGCUAACUACGUGCCAGCAGCCGCGGUAAGACGUAGGAAGCAAGCGUUGCCCGGAAUUACUGGGCGUAAAGAGCUCGUAGGCGGGGGCGUGCGUCGAAAGGAAAUCUCAAGGCUCAACCUUGGGGCUUUUCGGAUACGGCGCUUCUUGAGGGUGAGAGAGGAAAGCGGAAUUCCAGGUGUAGCGGUGAAAUGCGUAGAUAUCUGGAGGAACACCAGCGGCGAAGGCGGCUUUCUGGCUCAUUCCUGACGCUGAGGAGCGAAAGCGUGGGUAGCGAACGGGAUUAGAUACCCCGGUAGU
rnacentral:rRNA from 1 species